rnacentral:lncRNA from 1 species
AUGACUGUGCCUCUUUUGGUGUGUUCUCAAGACCCUUUACCAUCCAGAAUUCACUGUUUCUCAGAGCAGUUUCUUCUCUUCCUUUUUCUAUUUCCAGUUCUUUCUAUCACCCACGUUAGUCCAGGGACAAACUGUGUUCAAAGCAUCCCCUCCGUGAGUGUCAGGAGGGGAGAUCCAGAGAGAAGAUCCCUCCCACGGAGGCCGCCUUCACUAAGAGUGUCCACCCACAGUUUCCAACCGACCGGGAGCUUACUCGGCCGCGCUCAUCAGGGCAGUGGGCUGGUUUCCUGCCCUUCCCGGUGGGUUCCCAGGAGAGUCCUCUUUAAGCCAGGCUCCCUCUCACUUCCCUUCCUCGCUGGGGCUAAGAAAAUGUUGGCUGGAGCACAAACAGGUCUGGGAAGGGCUGGCACGGCUCUUCUCUGCGCUGGCUGGUCUCAGUCAGAUCAGGCCGCUCUGACCGAUACCACAGAAAGGGGCUGAAACUCCAAGUGUCUACUUCUCACUGUCCCGGAGGCUGGGGAGUCCAGGAUCAAGGUGCUGACUGUUGUGGGGUCUGGUGGGGGCCCUCUUCCCGCUGUGACCUUCUGUGGUGGACAGGGCGAGGGAGCACUCUGGGGUCUCUUUCAUCAGGGCACGAAUCCACCCUCAUAACCUAAAGCCAAGGCCCCCCUUCCUGAUGCCAACACACUGGGGAGGUUAGGAUUUCAACACAGGAAACAAACAUGCAGCCCAUAAUAGCUCCUCUAUCUGAAGGGCAAUCCAAGGUGAGUUCUUCCCUUCCUUUCCCCAAGUCCUUUCCAAGCCUGAGAAAUCAUCUCUCCCCCAACAGAACUCCCCAGGAGCAAGGAUACAGUGGAGAUUCUGCUUCCCAUGUCCCUAAGAACAAGAUGCUCUCACGGGAUGUCGGCUGUGAAGGCCGGGCCCAAGGUCAUAGACCCCGUGACUUGGUAUGAUUCCUAAACGCCACUCUGAGAGCAGGUGGGAGUUCCUGGGGGCUUGCCAUCCCUCUGGAACACUUCAGACACACCUUCCAACCUUGCCAGCAGGCUUCCCCCCUCACUCCUCCUGUCUCCAUCAGACUGCUGAGGUUGCAAAUAUCACAGCACCCGUGAAAGCGGCUUAAGAACAACAUGGGUUUAUCAUUAACAAGGUAGCCUGAGGGCUUCCCUGGUGACUCAGCGGUGAAGAAUCUGCUUGC